CAUGAUAGGCAUAACGACAUGUAUUUAUUUUAAAAUGUAUACCAAAGUAGUGAUGUAUACUAUAUGUAUACUAAAGUAGUUAUUGAGGGUACAGCAUUAGAUGAUGAGUACAGUAUUAUCUAGCAUUUGUUAGGCACCUACUCUAUGCUAAAGCUACAUUAAAAUAUUCAAAUACAUUAUUUCAUUCAGGAAGGUCCUCGCCUUCAUGAAGCUAACAGUUUAGAUUUUUUUUUUUUAAGGAUGGGGUCUCACUCUGUUGCCCAGGCUGGAGUACAGUGGUAUGAUCAGAGCUCACUACAGCCUCAAACUCCUGGGCUCAAGCAAUCCUCCCACCUCAGCUUCAGCCUACCAAGUAUCUUUGACUACAGGUGUGCACUAUCUCACCUGGCUAAUUUAUUUCAAUUUUAGUUUUUAGAGAUGGGGUCUCGAACUCCUGGGUUCAAGCAAUCCUCCUGCCUCAACCUCCCAAGUAGCUGGGAUUAUAAGAAUGAGCCACUGUGGCCAGCCAUAAAUUUAACAGUUUAAAAGGAGCUUUCUGGCUGGGUGCAGUGGCUCACGCUUGUAAUCCCAGCACUUUGGGAGGCCAAGGUGGGCGGAGCACCUGAAGUCAGGAGUUUGAGACAAGCCUGGUCAACAUGGUGAAACCCCACCUCUACCGAAAAUUUAAAAAAAAAAAAAAAUUAGCUAGGUGUGGUGGUAAGUGCCUGUAAUCCCAAUUACUCAGGAGGCUGAGGCAGGAGGAUCACCUGAACCCUGGAGGUGGAGGUUGCAGUGAGCCGAGAUUGUGCCACUGCACUCCAGCCUGGGUGACAGAGCAAGACUCUGUCUCAAAAUACACACACACACACACACACACACACACACACACACACACAUAUAAAACAAACAAACAAAAAACUUCCGUAGACUUAUUAUCACCUAGCUUCAACAAUUAUCAACACAUAGCUGAUCUUAAUUUAUCUAUAUCCCCCCACACUCUCCCCCAAGAUUAUUUGGAAGCAAAUUGCAGAUUUCAAAUCAGUUCAUCCACAAAUAUUUCAAUAUAUAUUUCCAAAAGUUAAGGACUCUUAACAUAACCACAAUACUAUCAUCUCACCUAAUAAAAAUUAACUAUAAUUUCUUACUCUCAUCAAAUAUCCAUUUGGUGUUCUAAUUUCCCUGAAUCAGGUUCUGAUCAAGAUCCAUAAAUUGUAUAUGGUAGAUAUGGCUCUUAGGUUUCUUUUAUUCCAUAGUUUACACUUUCUUUUUUUUUCUUCUUGCAAUUUACUAAAGAAACUCUAGGCCAUUUGUCCUAUGGAAUUUUGUUCAUUUUGGGUUUUGCCAGUUGCACCCCUGUGGUAUCUUUUAACAUGUUUCUCUCUCCCUUUGAAUUGGUAGCUUCUAGAGUUAUUUGGCUUCAGGUUUGAUUUUUUUUUUUUUUUUUUUUUUGGCAAGAAUAUUUUACAGGUGGUGUGACCUUCCUAUUGCAUCAUGUCAGGACCACAUAAUUUCUUGUUGUCUUUCUUUUCAUAAUAUUAAGACUAAUCAGUGGGUUCAGUUGCUGUCAACCUGAUCUAUCCAUUAUAAAAUUCCCUUCAGCUUUUUUUUCCCUCCACUAGCUUUCUAUUUCAUGGUUUUGCAGCCAUUUACUAUCAUUGACUAAAUCUAUUAUUUCAUUAGAGGUUGUUGGAUUCAUUUUUGAAUUGUUUAUGUUCCCCAAAUUUUUAUUUAGGAAAAUUUUAAACCUACAGAACUAUUCAUUGUUUCAGUGAACACCCAUAUACUCUGCCACAGAUUUGCUGCUUUGUAACUCUUUCCCACAUUUUCUCUAUCUCUUCCUUUCUCUUUCUGAAACAUUUGUGUUAGUUGCUGACAUAAGGAGGUUUCACCCCUAAAUUCUUCAGCAUUUGUCUUUUAAGAACAAAGACAUU
rnacentral:lncRNA from 1 species